rnacentral:rRNA from 1 species
AUUGAACGCUGGCGGCAGGCCUAACACAUGCAAGUCGAGCGGGGUUUUCGGACCUAGCGGCGGACGGGUGAGUAAUGCGUAGGAAGCUACCCGAUAGAGGGGGAUACCAGUUGGAAACGACUGUUAAUACCGCAUAAUGUCUACGGACCAAAGUGUGGGACCUUCGGGCCACAUGCUAUCGGAUGCGCCUACGUGGGAUUAGCUAGUUGGUGGGGUAAUGGCUCACCAAGGCGACGAUCCCUAGCUGGUUUGAGAGGAUGAUCAGCCACACUGGAACUGAGACACGGUCCAGGCUCCUACGGGAGGCCGCAGUGGGGAAUAUUGGACAAUGGGCGCAAGCCUGAUCCAGCCAUGCCGCGUGUGUGAAGAAGGCCUUCGGGUUGUAAAGCACUUUCAGUAGGGAGGAAGGGUGUUGUGUUAAUAGCACAGCAUUUUGACGUUACCUACAGAAGAAGCACCGGCUAACUCUGUGCCAGCCGCCGCCGUAAAAC